UACGUAGGGGGCAAGCGUUAUCCGGAUUCACUGGGUGUAAAGCGCGUGCAGGCGGUUCGGUAAGUUGGGCGUGAAAUCUCCUGGCUCAACUAGGAGAGGUCGUCCAAUACUACCGGGCUUGAGAGUGGUAGAGGAAGAUGGAAUUCCCGGUGUAGUGGUGAAAUGCGUAGAUAUCGGGAGGAACACCAGUGGCGAAGGCGAUCUUCUGGACCAUUUCUGACGCUCAGACGCGACAGCUAGGGUAGCAAACGGG
rnacentral:rRNA from 1 species